rnacentral:lncRNA from 1 species
GGGUUGUUAGGAAAGGCAGAUGUUAUUAUGUAUCUCAAGGCAAUUUGAGGGGCUUUGCCUGUUAUCAAUAAAUGUAAUUAAAAGAAGGGCAAGUAGGUGAGGUAGUUGGCUAGUGAUAGGAUGUGGUCCAUUCAGCCUGCAUGAGUGUACAUAGACAUUUUGUAACUGGUGCUCCAGGCCAAUCUUAGGAGAUUCCAGGCCAGAAAAAAGACUUUUAUUUCAUCUGGAUAAACCAUUCAUCUAAAGUUUUUUACAAGUGAUUUAUUUCCUGCUAAGAGGGAGAAGCCAGGGAUAGAAUACACACCCACUCAGAGAGAACUCACUUCCUUUCUGUUAGCAUUUCUGAGUGAAGCUGUGCUCUGCAGCUUGGUUCUGUAGUGUCACCGAGUGACCUCCAGAGGCCAGGGCCAGGAUGGACUGCCUAGGAGCACCCAUGCUGGGGAGCAGGUGGAGUACCCUGGAAGGGUCCCUUCCAGGACGCCUGCUGUGGCCUGGGUUCUGCCCGCUGAGCGGCACCUGCUUGCUCACCACACUUAACCACACUGCUCUAUGAGUCUCAUCCCUGCAUCUGUGCCCUUGCUGACUGAGGUCCUUCUCAGCAGUUGUUAAACUGCAAGUCUGUGGCAUCUGUCUUUGGAUCCCCACCAAAGAUUUUUCCCUGAAAAAAAAAAAACUAAAGGGCUGAUUGGGCAUUCUCUUUGAUUCUGAUUUUUCUUUGUUUC